rnacentral:rRNA from 1 species
AGAGUUUGAUCAUGGCUCAGAACGAACGCUGGCGGCGUGCUUAAUACAUGCAAGUCGAACGUGAUUCCCGACUUCGGUUGGGAUGAAAGUGGCGAACGGGUGAGUAACACGUAAGUAAUCUGCCUUCAAGUUUGGGAUAACCCUGCCAACGCGGGGCUAAUACCGGAUGUGGUCCAGCAGACCCAUGUUUGCGGGAUUAAAGGUCGCGAGACCGCUUGGAGAUGAGCUUGCGGCCCAUUAGCUAGUUGGUGAGGUAACGGCCCACCAAGGCAGGGAUGGGUAGCCGGCCUGAGAGGGUGUACGGCCACAUUGGGACUGAGAUACGGCCCAGACUCCUACGGGAGGCAGCAGUAGGGAAUUUUGCGCAAUGGACGGAAGUCUGACGCAGCAACGCCGCGUGAAGGAUGAAGGCCUUCGGGUUGUAAACUUCUGUUGGAUGGGAAAAAAAGCCUUUUAAGAGGAAUUGAUGGUACCAUUCGAGUAAGCACCGGCUAACUACGUGCCAGCAGCCGCGGUAAUACGUAGGGUGCGAGCGUUGUUCGGAAUCACUGGGCGUAAAGGGAGCGUAGGCGGAACUGUAAGUUAGAAGUUUAAUACAUGGGCUCAACCCGUGGUCUGCUUUUAAUACUGCGGUUCUUGAGUAUGGGAGAGGGCGAUGGAAUUCCAGGUGUAGCGGUGGAAUGCGUAGAUAUCUGGAAGAACACCAGUAGCGAAGGCGGUCGCCUGGCCCAAUACUGACGCUGAGGCUCGAAAGCUGGGGGAGCAAACAGGAUUAGAUACCCUGGUAGUCCCAGCCGUAAACGAUGGACACUAGUUGCCGGGAGAAUCUUGCUGAAAAACUCGAGCCAUCCGCAAAUUUCGGUUCC